rnacentral:tRNA from 1 species
GGCUCAUAGGACAACUGGUGGAGUUGCCGCCCUGUCACGGCGGAGAUGGAGGGUUCAAUCCCCUCAUGGGUCGCCA